rnacentral:rRNA from 1 species
AGGAAAUAGAUACCCAGGUAGUCCACACCCUAAACGAUCCUAACUGGUUUUGGGGAGUAUCGACCCUCCCCGAGACGAAAGCUAAACGCGUUAAAGUUAGGCGCCUGGGUAGUACGAUCGCAAGAUUAAAACUCAAAGGAAUAGACGGGGACUUGCACAAGCGGUGGAUCAUGCGGCUCAAUUCGAUGACAAACGAAGAACCUCACCAGGGUUUGAAACCCAGACGAAAUCCUUAGGAAACUUUGGACCUCGCAAGACGGCUGGGCAGGUGAUGCAUGGUCGUCGUCAGUUCGUGGCUUGAGUUGUUCCCUUCAGUGGGGUAACGAACGCAACCCCGUUGCCUGUUUCUAAUGUCAGGCGAGACUGCUCCCUCACGGGAGGAGGAAGGUGGGGUAGUGACGCCAGAUCAGCAUGUCCCUCUGAUAUCCUGGGCGUGCACCGCAUGAUACAAUGCACUCGACAACAAGACGCAAUAGGGUAACCUGGAGCAAACUCUUUUAAAACCGUAGUGCUCAGUUCGGUAUUGAGGUCUGCAACUCGACCUCAUGAA